AAACAGUAAAGGACAAAUUGGAUUCGGAAGAGGAGGUGGAUAUAAACAAGCAAUCAGUUAAUGUAGUGGCGUGGAUCUUUAAGAUAUGAAGGAAAAAACUUUUAAGAAACAAAGAACUUCUAUAACAUCGCAGUUGGACAGGGCUCUGUGCCCCACCAGGACCAAGUAUGCACCACCCCACCAUUUAAAAAGGGAAGAAAACUGUUUGGAAGAGAACUCAGUUCCAUUUGUCAGGAUGGCAUCCUGCCUGGAGCAAUUCUGGACAUGCUGUAUCUACUAAAAAAGAACGGGCUCACAACCACGGGUGUCUUUUUAGAACCUCCGAGUAUAACUUUGUGCCAAACAGUAAAGGACAAAUUGGAUUCGGAAGAGGAGGACUUCCUCCAAAACCUCAAGGGAAGUCUAAUGACUUCAAAACUAUAUGAUGAGUGGAUUGCUGUAUCCGAAAAGGUCAAUGAUGAAGAGAAAUUAGCCGCAGUGCAGAGGUAGUUGUUGGAAACUGUGAACAACCUCAACAAAAUAGAAGUAACAUUUGCUUACACACAUUAGAGAUUAUAUACCACAGAAACAUUUACUAAGAACACUGACAGACAGCAAAAGCUUUCAAUUGUUCACAAACAUGGAAGACACUUUCAAAAGAGUAUGAGUUACAGUGGGAAUUACAGUAGCCCAGGCUUAUAAUCUUACUUUCAUAUUCCAAUUAGAUUUGUCUUUUUUCUGAAUUGGGUAAAUAUUUCAAGCAAUGAUUUGAGUACAAACUCUUUCAUUUUAUUUACAGUGCAUCCUGCAUACGAUACGAUUACUCCGUUCCCUUCCUUCAUAUUUACAAAUUGAGUAUACUUGUUUUAAAAUAACUGUCUCUGUGUUCAGUCUUUUAGAUAAAAUGCCACCUGAAAAUGCAGCUCUUCUGAGGCAACUUUUUUGUAUAUUAUAUGAAAUUAAAAGUAACUGUUCUUUUAAUGAAAUGUCUUCUUACCACCUAUCUGUUGGGUUAGCCCCCCUCUUAUUUGUGCCCAGCUCCUGGAAUAAUGGAGUGACAAAUGAUAUUGGCAAAAGGGUAAUUAGAUAAGAACUUUAUGCCUAGCAUUGAUGAGCCUUUACAAUGAGACAGGAAAACAGGAUUACCCUGAGAAUCUUGGUUAUUUUGUUGUUGUUGUUGUUGAUGAUUGUUUUGGUUUUUGUUUUGUUUCAUUUUGUAAAGUAAGUACAGCUUUGAAAGGUGUUCUUCUGGAGGGAAGGAAUCAUUGGUGCAUUUUAAGUAAAAUAUAAAUGGUAUUUGAGCUCAGUGACUCAGUCUUUUGUCUUUGUCAUUUAGAAUAUCCUUACACUAACCCAUAGAGAACAAAUGCUAUGAAAUGAUACAAAAAAAAUCCUAGGUACUGGGUUCAGCAAUCAAGACUUAAUUCUGACAUAUUCAGUGUAGAAUGUGUGAAAUUCUACUUGUUUUCAAGGUGGUUUCCCCAACAAAAAAUGGCAAUGCAAUUUGGAUUUUUUUUAUCAGAUAUGAUCCUUAAGAAUUCCUGAUUAAUGUGAGUAAAAUACCAUUGGCCUCAGGAUGCUGGUUAUGAUUGGUUUAGAGAAAUUAUUGUGUAUACUUUUCUAUGUUAGCCAUCUUUCAAGUACUAUAAUAAACUACCAAACCUUAUGCAGUACAGUGAUCAAAUGGUUAUUUUGACUCUAGGUAUUUGAGUUUCUGAUCCAUUAUUAAUUGACCAAUUGUCCUUGA
rnacentral:lncRNA from 1 species